rnacentral:lncRNA from 1 species
CCUAUUUUGUUCAGGGAUGAACCAGUUUGCUGGAGAUGGAGAGAUACGACAUGACGACAUUUCUCAGUGCAAUGCAUCGAUGCUGAUAUGAACUGGACAACCUGAUGUGACUUGAGUCAUAGACCAGAGCCUUCAAGUGUGCCUCUUGACAGCUGGUAUGAAGUGGAUUGGAGGAGGUGGAUGCCUGGAUGCUGAUGUGAGCUGGGCGGGCGGGCAUCGUGACGUCACUCCACCCUUCUGUCAUCGCCCGAAGCCUCCAAGUAGGGCAUGACAGGUUGAUCGAGUCCAGUCGUUCAGGUUGCACGAGGAUAAGGGGGUCCAGUCUUUCCCCCCCCCACACACACCUACUUCUCACCACUGUGGGACGAAGCUCGAGACUCGUUCCAAUCAGUGAGCAGAGUGAGAGGAGACGAGAACAGCACAGCGAGCGAAGUGAGUUCUGAGCGGUUGCAUGGAGGAGGAUUGUCAUUUAGUUGCUGUUGCUAGAGUGAGAGACGAGAUGGAGCGGACGCUGCAUUAUCAGGACAUGGAGGAGAGAGAGACAGACAACGCCAAAGAAUAGCCUGCUCAAACGGAACAGUGGGAAGAAGAAGAAAGAUAGAAGAAGACGCAGCAAAGAAGAUACAUUUUUACAAAAUAGUGGGACUCUAGUGUAAGAGUUUAAGUUAAAACUACAAACAUUGACAUUGAAAAGUGCAUAACAGUGAUUAUUAUUGAUGUGAAGUGAAAGGACUCGAAUUUACUUUCAUUCUUAAAAGACGUUGAAUUGAUUUUUAUUUUGUUUGUUAUGUUCUUGAUAUUGUGCAUGUUUUGCUGUAAAUAAUAAAUGCUUAUGGGGUGGGUUUCCUAUUUGGGGUAUUUUCAGG